GAUGAACGCUGGCGGCGUGCCUAAUACAUGCAAGUCGAGCGAACGGACGAGAAGCUUUCUUCUCUGAUGUUAGCGGCUGACGGGUGAGUAAGACGUGGAUAACCUACCUAUAAGACUGGGAUAACUUCGGGAAACCGUAGCUAAUACCGGAUAAUAUUUUGAACCGCAUGGUUCAAAAGUGAUAGACGGUCUUGCUGUCACUUAUAGAUGGAUCCGCGCUGCAUUAGCUAGUUGGUAAGGUAACGGCUUACCAAGGCAACGAUGCAUAGCCGACCUGAGAGGGUGAUCGGCCACACUGGAACUGAGACACGGUCCAGACUCCUACGGGAGGCAGCAGUAGGGAAUCUUCCGCAAUGGGCGAAAGCCUGACGGAGCAACGCCGCGUGAGUGAUGAAGGUCUUCGGAUCGUAAAACUCUGUUAUUAGGGAAGAACAUAUGUGUAAGUAACUGUGCACAUCUUGACGGUACCUAAUCAGAAAACCACGGCUAACUACGUG
rnacentral:rRNA from 1 species